rnacentral:tRNA from 1 species
AAGGCUUUAGCUUAAUUAAAGCGUCUGUUUUGCAUGCAGAAGAUGUGGGGUAAUGUCCCGCAAGUCUUA